rnacentral:rRNA from 1 species
GACGAACGCUGGCGGCGCGCUUAACACAUGCAAGUCGAGCGAGAUCCAGGCCUUCGGGCCUGGGGACAGCGGCGAACGGGUGAGUAACACGUGGGUAAUCAACCCUCGACACUGGGAUAGCCCGGGGAAACCCGGAUUAAUACCGGAUGGCCCUUUGGAUCCUCGGAUCUGAAGGAAAAGGUAGCUUCGGCCUCCGGUCGAGGACGAGCCCGCGGCGGAUUAGCUUGUUGGUGAGGUAACGGCUCACCAAGGCGACGAUCCGUAGCUGGUCUGGGAGGGCGAUCCACCCAACUGGGCCUGAGACACGGCCCAGACUCCUACGGGGGGCAGCAGUGGGGAAUCUUGCGCUAAUGCGGGAAACCGUGACGCAGCGACGCCGCGUGAGGGAAGAAGGCCUUCGGGUUGUAACCUCUUUCAGGAGGGACGAAGCCACUCGGGUGAAUAGCCCAGAGGGUGACGGUACCUCCAGAAGAAGCCCCGGCUAACUACGUGCCAGCAGCCGCCGUAAUAC